UACGAGGGGGGCGAGCGUUGUUCGGAAUUAUUGGGCGUAAAGGGUGCGUAGGCGGUUUGGUAAGUCUGAUGUGAAAGCCCACGGCUCAACCGUGGAGGGUCAUUGGAAACUGGGAGACUUGAGUGCAGAAGAGGAAAGUGGAAUUCCAUGUGUAGCGGUGAAAUGCGUAGAGAUAUGGAGGAACACCAGUGGCGAAGGCGACUUUCUGGUCUGUAACUGACACUGAGGCGCGAAAGCGUGGGGAGCAAACAGG
rnacentral:rRNA from 1 species